rfam:Sphingobium sp. Ant17 Contig_2450, whole genome shotgun sequence.
AACGACCUUGACCAAGACGGAUACUCGACCGCCCCGGGAGAUGAUGAUGGCGUUCAUCGACGUCCAUCGCGAGGAUUUGGGUAUCGAGCCGAUCUGCCGGGAACUGGCAAUCGCCC